AGAGAUGAGUUUUUUUAUUAUUAUUAAUACCACCACCAGCUCAGCUGCUGCUGCUAAUCAUGCUUAAAACUAGGGCCAGAUUGGGUGAACUCACGCCUACCCAAAACGAGAUACAAUCCAGUUUUCUUUUUGAGCGGUGGAUUGAGCAACCACAGCUGGGAUCUGAUCAACUGCGGUGGCUAAAUUGCUGGCGAUGGCAACCUAUCCUAUGUCUUCGAAGGAUAGACACUGGACAGUGGUGUUUUCUUGUUCUGUAGUUCCAUAAUUUCUAAUGCAGUCCCAAUGCGUGUUGAUUAAGUUACUCAACUUCUUGGCCAGAUUGGAUGAUCAAUCAAGAUUUGGUUAGGUUGGAGUGCUUGCGACAUCUUGCAAUCCCUCCAAACACUGCAACCAUGACUUCAAAUAGUUUUGAUGCCUGCAGGGAAAGACAAGCGAUCAGGUCCAGGAUUUUCCUUUUCUUUAGGAAAAAUACACUAAUCGCUUGCCAUUAAUUUCUAUGUUGACACCCAGAUAACAACAACAGCUUCUUGGAUUCUUGUUCGUAAUUUCAUGCUGUUUGUCACUGGUUAUGAAUCCACAAACAGCCCACCUUCCUGUACUCGAUGCAGCCCGCAUCGACUUUUGCCUGUGUUCGGGACUGGAAUAUACUGGGAUUUAUGUGGCGUAUUGAAGGCGCUACGCAUUCAUUGACAACAAGUAUCCAAAUCAUUGUGUUGGUGCUUUUAUUACUGUCCUUCUGUUUCCAAUCAAAUGAUACUUACAAAGCCCCACCAAGUGAAGGAAGAAAAGAAAAUGCAAGAAAACUUCCUGUACAAAAUAAAUACGAGUUCAACAAAAAAAAAAAAAA